rnacentral:lncRNA from 1 species
UCUAGGAUCUUCCUACUUAUGACAGUGUUCAGAAAUUACCUUACCUCAACAUGUGCAUGGAUGAGACACUCAGAUUGUAUCCCAUUGCAAAUAUGUACGUUUCCUUUGCCUUUGUUUCGGUUAUAUACGCACAUUUAUUCUUCAGUAGGUUUCCUCUAACUUCCCCGCAAUGCAUACAUUUUUGCAUAUGUUUAUUUACGUAUAUGUGUUUGUGUAAGAAUGAGUGAGUGCUUGGAUGUGCACGUGUAUGUGUAUUUGUACACGCAUUUAUAUUUGUCUUUGUAUGUGUGGGUACACAUACUCUUCAUUGAUGGUGUGGUCCUUUUGAAGAUAGUAAACACAACGCCUUUUGCAUGACAGAAAAACUGGGCCCAUGACGACCUCCUUUUGAAGCAGAUGAGAAAGGGUGUUUUCACUGUAUGGAUCGUCGCUUUGUCUUUGACACAAAGUUAUGAACCCUACCCUCAUCCAAGAGUUAGAAACGUUCAAGGAAACCAGCUGGAUCUGCUUCAAACAAUAUCAGAAUAACCCGUGGUGUGAUCAGCCUGGUGAGCUUUUGAACAGGUUUCACAAGACAUGGCAGCUACCGAGCAAAAUAUUUUCAAAUCUGUCAUGGGAUAUGUUAACAGUAUUGGCCAUUUGCUUCAUAGUCCAUCGCCUGUCACUCAUCACCAUGUGGUGAAUACCAUCAAUAUUUCCCCUCCUAAAUUCAGUUGGCAAUUUUUGCCCCGUUGAUAAAGCUGGAUCGUCAUCGUCUAAUGCUGCAACCAUGUCAGCAUGAAUGUACUUGGGGGCUAAACCUUUUUUCUGCAGGUUCUUGUGAACACUGUGAAACCAAAUUUUGUCUGUCGCUACUAGUUACAUUUGAAGUCUUCUUUGAAGAGCCAGAUGCCAGUUUACCUGGAAUGAAGAAAGGAUGCAAUUAUUUGUAAGAAGGAGAAGAUAAAGAUCAUUUUCGAGUCAUUCAGACAUAUAUGGCCGGUUUUCAUGGUGUAUGUAUUCUGCACCUGGAUCGGACGACAGCCCGUCGAAGGAUUACUCAUUUUAGCCAGCUGAACGGACUGGAGCAACGUGAAAAGGAGUGUUCUGCUUAAAACAUAAUGCAUUGCCUAUUCAGGAAUCGAAACCACAAUCUUACAAUUAUAAGCACUAAGCCACAUGCCUCCACGAGUUGAAAUUAAAGCAUGCAACAUUUCACAGCUCUAGUAUCACUCCUUCAUUGUCAGCCUAUGAGCUUUUCACCCUACCCUCGUAUAAUACAUACGCAAUUAUGUAUUUAUACCCCACACCCACUCUUAGUUCUCCUGUCCCCACUCACAUAGUACCCUGUGGUGCCACCUGGAUUACUCAUCAUCAAAAUCUCUCUCUACCUCCUACUCAUCAUUCUCGCCCUCUCUUCUGCAUGUGUGUAGCCAUGUAACUUGUCUACUACAACAACUUGCUCUGUUCUCACCUCCUCUCAUAUUUUAAUCCGUCUUCUAGUAUAUAUUUCUUUACUACCCAUAAGGGGCUAAACACAGAGGGGACAAACAAGGGCAGACAAAGGGAUUAAGGCGAUUACAUCGACUCAGUGCGAAACUGGUACUUUAUUUAUCGACUCGGAAUUUGAACUCAGAACGUAACGACAGACGAAAUACCGCUAAGCAUUUCGCCCGGCACGCUAACGUUUCUGCCACCUCGCCGUCUCUCCGUUUUCUAGUAUAGAGCCGUCCAAACCCUCGAGGUGUAUACUUUUUUCAGCUGCAUGAAAACCUCAAUGUUAUUAUAACACCCUUUUUAUAUACAUACACACACACACAUAUAUAUAUUGAUAUAUUGAUAUACAUAUACGUGUAUAUAUAUAUAUAUAUAUAUAUAUAUAUAUAUAUAUAUAUAUAUAUAUAUAUAUAUAUAUAUAUAUAUAUACAUAUAUAUUUACUCUGCUAUGUAUUGAGUACCUUAUUUACUGUGGUUAAUCCCGACUCAACCCGGGACCUACAUAUAUAUAUAUAUAUAUAUUUGCUCAUUUGCUUUAUGUUUAUAAACUGCUGUUUCAGCGUGGAACGUCAGUGCAAUAAGGCGUGCACUAUAAAAGGUGUGAACAUUCCUGAAAACCUGACUGUCAGAAUCGCUGUGGAUGCUCUACAUUACAAUCCAAAAUACUGGCCAGAACCAGAAAAAUUCAUUCCAGAAAGGUUAGCAAUAUAAAUUAUGCUUUCAUUCAUAGACUGCUGCAGAUGUGUUCAUGAGAUUUAGAGAUUCUAUUCACAAACACCAGUUUUGUGUUUUAUCUUCUGAUCUACCUUUACAUCACAUCCUCAUCUUACAAAAUAUUGAUCUCAAAUUUUGACACAAGACCAACAAGUUCCAGGAAAGGCCUAAGUCAAUUGCAUUGACCCCACUCCUCAAUUAGUAUGUAUUUUAGCGACCCCAAAAAGAUGAAAGUGGAAUUUGAACUCAAGAGAAGGGUAUAGGGAAAGGGCAGGUGGGAUUGUGAAGCGAAGGGACUUAUUGCAUGAAAAAUUGCUCAAAACACAUACAAACAAGGCCAUAGACAAACCAGGCUAUACACACACAUACAAAUACACCCCUAUAUGUGUGUGUGUGUGUAUUAUGUGUCUGUGUGUGUGUGUGUUUACACACAUACACGCAUAUACAGAGAAGCAUAUAUUCACUAGCUCUCCUGCUUUUAGACUAUUCAAUUGAUAGUACGAAAAUAAUUGCAUAAGGAUAAACACGUGUACACACACGCACAUUACACACACACAUAUAUAGAGAAUUUCCUUUCUUUACACAAACACUACACACACACACGUCCCAGCGCGCAAAUGUACUUAUGCAAGCCAGUAACAGCUUGUACACACGCAGCCACUUAAGUAAACUUAUACACAAAUAGAUAUGCACACGCACACAAACACACACACACACACACACGCACACACCUGUGUAUGUGGGAAAGUGUACAUUUAAACAAACACCCACAUAUAUAUUCACUCAUAUCCAUGCGCAUAAAUGCACACAUGAAUAUACAUACAUAGGCGCAGGAGUGGUUGUGUGGUAAGUAGCUUGCUUACCAACCACAUGGCUCCGGGUUCAGUCCCACUGCGUGGCAUCUUGGGCAAGUGUCUUCUACUAUAGCCUCGGGCCGACCAAAGCCUUGUGAGUGGAUUUGGUAGACGGAAACUGAAAGAAGCCCGUCGUAUGUAUGUAUAUAUAUAUAUGUGUGCGUGCAUGUUUGUGUGUCUGUGUUUGUCCCCCUAGCAUUGCUUGACAAUCGAUGCUGGUGUGUUUACGACGCCGUUACCUAGCGGCUCGGCAAAAGAGACCGAUAGAAUAAGUACUGGGCUUACAAAGAAUAAGUCCCGGGGUCGAUUUGCUCGACUAAAGGCGGUGCUCCAGCAUUGCCGCAAUCAAAUGGCUGAAACAAGUAAAAGAGAUAAAAGAGUAAAAGAGAAUAUAUGUACUUAUAAGUUCACAUACAUUUAAGUUCAUUCGUAAUUCCACUCAAUUUUUUAUGUAUUCAUAAUCUCAAAUGUACAUGUAUACGUGUACCUUAAAUAAAUAGAACAGCUGCAUAUUCUGAUGUAACCACAAAGACAGCUGGGUAUUCAGAGGUAGCAGGAAGGGAUAGACCACUAUACCUUAGUGCCUGAUGGAGAAAAAAGAAACUAUAUGUGUGUUCAAGCGCCUGAUAUCCCGGUUACUGAGUGGCAAAUCUACAUUCAGUAAAGUUUUAUGAAAUUUAUGAUUGCAGCUUAUAAUCAGUUAUUGUGCUUAUUAAACCUAUUCAGAAAUGGGAGUGCUCCUGUAAAAAAAUAAUUUGCAACCCUUUUCUUUGUAUCAUAAAGAAAGACAGUUCAUAUAGUCAAUCAGGAAAUUGACUAACUAAUAUUGUUAUUUGUCAAAUUAGUGUCGCCAAUGAAGUGUUAUGCUCUUUCCUCCUAUAUUUUAGAGAAUUAAUGAUUUAUCAGUCUUGUCUUAUGUUUGUUCGCCGUAGCACCCACAAAGAGUUAAAUAUUAUCGUUAUGUAGUACAUGUGCGUAUGGAUGCCAGUAAAAUGAAGUGGCUAACGUUAAGAAGCUUUUGACCAGAGGAGAUCCCUAUCUAAACAACAUCAACAAUAUAUGGUUACUUAUACAGGUACUUUUGUCAUUUACAGAUUUAGCGAAGAAGCAAAGUCUAAACAAGUGCCGUUCACCUACUUACCAUUUGGUGCAGGACCAAGAAUGUGUCUUGGAACGAGACUGGCCAAGCUGGAGUUCAAGAUAGCAGCUGUUGAAAUGAUUCGAAAUUUCAAAAUUCUUCGAACUGAAAAAACCGAAGUAAGUUCUAUUGUUUCUUUUGUAAACUUUGAAAUAUAUAUCAAAUUUAUGGGUAUAUAUUUUAAAUACGUAUAUAUAUUCUUUUUCUUGCUUUUAUUUUGUAACGAGGUAAUUUCCUCUCAAGCUGUUUAGUCUGAAACAUAGGUUCAAUUCCCAGUCGAGACUUUAUCUUUUAUACUUUUAUCUUUUACUUGUUCCUGUCAUUGGACAGUGGCCAUGCUAGAGCACCACAUGGAAGGAUUUCCUUAAAUAAAUCAACUUCAGCACUUAUUUCAAUAUCUGGCUUUCAUUCUAUCGGUCUCUUUUACUACUCGACAAUGAUACUUUUACUACUCUACGGGAACGUAAACAAACCAACACCGGUCAACAAGCAUUGAUGCGGUAACAAACGAAAGUGUAACACGCACACAUCUAUGCGACCUCGUGUGUACCGUUGGCGAUUUUGUUUCCUCUGUCUUCCCUUCUCUGGAUCUUUCCUUCUCCUAUGUUUCUGACGAAGAGCGUCCAAUAAUACUAUAUUUGUUUGUUUCACGUCCUUGCGUUGUUGUGUUUUUUGUACUUUCUUGUUUGAAUUAACUAUAUAUAUAUAUAUAUAUACACACAAAUAUAUACGACGGACUUCCACAUGGUUUCCGUCUAUCAAAUUCACGCACAAAGAAUUAGUCGGUCCAGGACAGUAGUACAAAUUGUCUGUCCAGUUUAGAAUGUAGUGGGACUGAACCCGAAGCCCCGUGUUUACAAAGCCAGCUUCAUAACCACGUAGUCAUACCCACAUCCUGUACAUUUUUAACCUAAAGAAAAUCUUGUUAUUAAUCUCUGUAGUUGCAACCAUAUCUGCAUGGUUUCAAAUUCAAUUUCCCUGGAAGGAAUGCCUUGAACAGGGGUCACUUGUGUCGCAGUUUUUGUAAAACUUGUCUUGUAUUGAAGUGGUCGUCAUCAUCGGUUGUCUUUAAUACCACCAUCAUAUUGCCUGGAGUUACCGUUAGUGAGCGAAGAACCAGAUCCUUAAAGAAAAACACUGGGGUCGAUUUCUUCAGCUAAACUCUUCAAGGUGGUGCUUCAGCAUGAUCGCAGUCCUGUGCCUACACCAACUAAAAGGAUUUGUGUGUGUGUUUGUAUAUGUAUAUGUGUAUGUGUGUGUUUGUGCGUUUGUGUUUGUGCGCGCGUGUGUGUGAACAGGUCGCGGUCUCAAAGCGCCGAAAAUAUUUUGACAAAUCAAAUUUAAAUGUGGAAGUGAAUCUAACGGUUUUGUGUGAUUCUUAAAUGGCUUAUAAACACCUUCCAUGCUGCAAUUGUUUUCGUUCCAGCACACGAUCUCAGAUCAGGUUACUUGCUAUGCGAGUACAUCUCUGUAUAUAUAUAUAUAUAUAUAUAUAUAUAUAUAUAUAUAUAUAUGUAUAAUAGAAAUAUUAAAAUUACUAAGUCUCUCUAAAAGAGAACAACGGCAGCGUUCCCGGAAAAUAAUAGUUAUCGCCAUACUAAUAUGGCAUUCUAAACAUGGUUGCAACUACAGAGAUUAAUAACAAGAUUUUCUUUAGGUAAAAAAUGUACAGGAUGUGGGUAUGACUACGUAGUUAUGAAGCUGGCUUUGUAAACACGGGGCUUCGGGUUCAGUCCCACUACAUUCUAAACUGGACAGACAAUUUGAACAGAGAUUGUCAGAAGCGACACCUACUGGUCUGGCAACGCUGCAUUGAAAAGGGGCAAUACCCCGAAACGCGUCUGUAGCUGCCGGCCAAGUAGUGUGGAGCGACUGACCUCCCUUGUUCAAAGGUUAUAUGGAUACAGUUUGUGUAUCAAAUAGCUAACUUAAGGCGAUGGCCUCAUGGAGCUAAUAAGCGGUCAGCUUUAUUCUUAUUUUUAUAAGAAUGCCAUAUUAGUAUGGCGAUAACUAUUAUUUUCCGGGAACGCUGCCGUUGUUCUCUUUUAGAGAGACUUAGUAAUUUUAAUAUUUCUAUUAUUGAAAACAAGUGGAUGUAUUCCACCGAAGCUAGGUAAAUAAAACCUUUGAACAGAGAUUGUCAGAAGCGACACCUACUGGUCUGGCUACGCUGCAAUGAAAUGGGGCAAUACCCCGAAACGCGUCUGUAGCUGCCGGCCAAGUAGUGUGGAGCGACUGACCUCCCUUGUUCAAAGGUUAUAUGGAUACAGUUUGUGUAUCAAAUAGCUAACUUAAGGCGAUGGCCUCAUGGAGCUAAUAAGCGGUCAGCUUUAUUCUUAUUUUUAUAAGAAUGCCAUAUUAGUAUGGCGAUAACUAUUAUAUAUAUGUAAGUAUAUGUAUAUUUGUAUGCUUGUCAUAUGAUUAAAUAACAUACAUAUGUCUCUCUUCCAGGACCCUCUUGCAUUAGACGACAGUGUCUUUCUGGCUGCCAAAAACGGAGUUUGGGUGAAGUUUGAACGAAGAUUAAAAAAAUAACGUGUAGUACUGCACAAAUAAAUAAACCUUUUGUAAAAUUAUAUACGAUGUAAUCAUUGAUUGCAAAAGCAACGUAAAAUAUAAAAAUAAUAAGCGUCAUUAUAAAACUGGAAAAUGUAAAGAUAAUAUUUUGAAUAACGUUUCCUUUUCUUCGAACAAUAAAUUUUUGUUGGUAUAUAUUUUAUUGAAUAUUAAAAACAAAUCUCGUAUAGACUUUAUCAGAGAGCAACGUUUCUACCGUUGACAUUACAA